UCAUUGACGGCCUUAUGUAUACACACGAUGUCAUAAAAUUUUUUUAGGAUGUGAUGUCGAACUCCACUAUUUGUUUUAUUAAAAUUUACUAUCAAAUAUUGACAAUGUGCUUUGAAAGACAGUGUCGGCAGUGUGCCGACAGAGGAUUAAUAUACUAGCUUAAAUUGCAUUGCGAUAAGAAAAUGGACAAAUUGAGGAAGAAUUUUGAUGAAAGAGAUUCAAUCACGUGAUCAUUUAUUGCUGCAACAUUAUGAAAUUGUACCUUUAGUCUCGUAAACUUUAGAACGUUUCCGAGCUCUCCCGAUUCCCAAGAGAUACAAUAACUAGCAACGAGCAUGGGAUCACAGUGAAAACUCAGUACAUGACGUAAAGGGAUGCAGAGAAAAAUUAAAAAAAAGAUAUCGACUGCCGGAUCGGGUGGAUAAAGCCGAGUGCAAGGAUCGGUACCGAAAGUAAACCUAUUACAAGUGGACACGUUAGACUCGGAACGACAACCGCUAGUGAGAUGGUUGCAGCGACUGGAAGAUUUAUUUAAAGUUUUACAAAUUGAAGAAGAGAUUGAAGAAUUGCAGAGUGACCUACCUGUUUUGUAAGUAUGGAGACUUUCGGAAUCCUUUAUGAUCGAUUGGAUUCAGUGGAUUCAUAUGAUACAUUAAUAAAGUUAAAAAAGUUCUAUGCGUCGGAACCUUUAGAAAACGCGGAGAUAUCUGGAAACAUUGUGUCUCGGCGCUAAGAC